GAUGAACGCUGGCGGCGUGCCUAAUACAUGCAAGUCGAGCGAACAGACGAGGAGCUUGCUCCUCUGACGUUAGCGGCGGACGGGUGAGUAACACGUGGAUAACCUCCCUAUAAGACUGGGAUAACUUCGGGAAUCCGGAGCUAAUACCGGAUAAUAUAUUGAACCGCAUGGUUCAAUAGUAAAAUACGGUUUUGCUGUCACUUAUAGAUUGAUCCGCGCCGCAUUAGCUAUUUGGUAAGGUAACGGCUUACCAAGGCAACGAUGCGUAGCCGACCUGAGAGGGUGAUAGGACACACUGGAACGGAGACACGGUCCAGACUACUAAGGGAGGCAGCAGUAGGGAAUCUUACGCAAGGGGGGAAAGCGGGACGGAGCAAAGCGGCGUGAGUGAUGAAGGUCUGAGGAUGGGAAAACGAUGUUAUAAGGGAAGAACAAAUGUGUAAGUAACAAUGAACGUCUUGACGGUACCUAAUCAGAAAGCCACGGCUAACUACGUG
rnacentral:rRNA from 1 species